UACGAAGGGGGCAAGCGUUGUUCGGAAUUACUGGGCGUAAAGGGCGCGUAGGCGGCUUAUCAAGUCAGGCGUGAAAUUCCCGGGCUCAACCUGGGGGCUGCGCUUGAUACUGAUGAGCUUGAAUGCGGGAGAGGAUAGUGGAAUUCCCAGUGUAGAGGUGAAAUUCGUAGAUAUUCGGAAGAACACCAGUGGCGAAGGCGGCUCACUGGCCCGGUACUGACGCUGAGGUGCGAAAGCGUGGGGAGCAAACAGG
rnacentral:rRNA from 1 species